AUUGAACGCUGGCGGCAGGCCUAACACAUGCAAGUCGAGCGGAUGAACGGUGCUUGCUCCUGGAUUCAGCGGCGGACGGGUGAGUAAUGCCUAGGAAUCUGCCUGGUAGUGGGGGAUAACGUCCGGAAACGGGCGCUAAUACCGCAUACGUCCUGAGGGAGAAAGUGGGGGAUCUUCGGACCUCACGCUAUCAGAUGAGCCUAGGUCGGAUUAGCUAGUUGGUGGGGUAAAGGCCUACCAAGGCGACGAUCCGUAACUGGUCUGAGAGGAUGAUCAGUCACACUGGAACUGAGACACGGUCCAGACUCCUACGGGAGGCAGCAGUGGGGAAUAUUGGACAAUGGGCGAAAGCCUGAUCCAGCCAUGCCGCGUGUGUGAAGAAGGUCUUCGGAUUGUAAAGCACUUUAAGUUGGGAGGAAGGGCAGUAAGUUAAUACCUUGCUGUUUUGACGUUACCAACAGAAUAAGCACCGGCUAACUUCGUG
rnacentral:rRNA from 1 species